AGUGAACGCUGGCGGCAGGCCUAACACAUGCAAGUCGAACGGAAGCACAGUAAGAGCUUGCUCUUACGGGUGGCGCGCGGCGGACGGGUGAGGAAUACAUCGGAAUCUACUUUUUCGUGGGGGAUAACGUAGGGAAACUUAUGCUAAUACCGCAUACGACCCACGGGUGAAAGCAGGGGAUCUUCGGACCUUGCGCGAGUGGAUGAUCCGAGGUCGGAUUAGCUAGUUGGCGGGGUAAAGGCCCACCAGGGCGACGAUCCGUAGCUGGGCUGAGAGGAUGAUCAGCCACACUGGAACUGAGACACGGUCCAGACUCCUACGGGAGGAAGCGGUGGGGAAUAUUGGACAAUGGGCGAAAGGGUGAUACAGCCAUACCGCGUGGGUGAAGAAGGCCUUCGGGUUGUAAAGCCCUUUUGUUGGGAAGGAAGAGAAGCAGGUUAAUACCCCGCUGUUCUGACGGUACCCAAAGAAUAAGCACCGGCUAACUUCGUG
rnacentral:rRNA from 1 species